GUCACAAUCAAUCAUUACAGUGUUUUGGAGUCUAACUUUGGUGGGGGGACAGAUAAAACCGUUGUCUGAUCCUGGAUUGCCAGAGCCCAAAGUAGUUGAAAUCAUAACUUAAUUCUAUACGUAUGUGUGAGGAGUUGAGCUUAUAUAAAUUGACAAGUCAAAAAAUCCCCCCCCCCCUGCAAAUAGCUACAUCUCUUUAUUGCUGCCAUUGUGAAAUUGAUGAUUAAAACUAAAAACUAGUAUUUUCAAAUGAUGAUCAAAAUUUAUCACUGUCUCAAUAAAUAAUCUAUGUAAAAUGUAAAGGUUUUGGAUCUAAUAUAACAUGGAGUAAAUGCACAAAAGUAAUAAUUCAAAUGUUUAUUUCACAAAAUUGUUGACAAAUAUUUGUGUAGAAAAUAUAUAUUGUUUAAACUGGACGGAGUUAAGUUUGUAAUACAGUCAUGUAAUGCAUUAUAUCAAUUACAAAGUACAUAAUUAAUAAAACCUAAUUUUUUUAAUAAUUACAAAAAUUAACAAAUAUUUACAAAUAAGAAAAUUAUCUACAAAUAAAAGAAAUAUUAAGUAAUAAAAUUGUAGUUAAUAUAAAAUUAUCAGAUCGAAACAUUAAUGCGGGAUUUAAAUAAUUGAUUGGCUUGAGAUCAAAAUAAAUAAAUAAAAUUUAUAAUCAAUAGGCACACAUAUUUAUUUAAGGUCCCAAGAAACAGGCACGAGUGUCUAUCGAAUCGAUUCACCCAAUUUUACCCCCACGAAAUGUACAUUUAUAGAAAGACAAAUUCACUUAAGGCACUGUACA